GACCUAAUGGCGAAGCUGGUAUCGCGUCCAUAUUUCUUGGUAGAUAGUUCAACCAUUUUCGGUGGAAGUCCCCGGUUCUAACCCGGGUUAGGUCC